rnacentral:lncRNA from 1 species
CGUCGUCACCGGAGAAAGAAGUUUAAGGCCUUAAGGGACAACGUGAGCCAUCUUCAAUCUUCAAUUCUUUAUGCUAGUUUCCAAUAUGUAAAUUUAUUUAGUCUCGUUCGAUUUCCUUGUUAGUUUUUGUUAAUGAAAUCUAUUACUAUCUAUUAAAUUGGAGUUGGUGAUGACGGACGGCAGGUUUUUUAAUCAAAAUUAUGAGUAUGCCAUCGAGAUACCACCGUGCGUUAGAAAAACACCCAAACGUUUUUUUUUUCUUUUCCCCUCCACACGCUCAGCUGUGCCGCCACGACCAUG